rnacentral:tRNA from 1 species
GUCUUCCUAGUGUAACGGUAGCACACUCGGCGCGUAUUCGAGAGGUCCAGGUUCGAAUCCCGGUCAGGGCA